rnacentral:rRNA from 1 species
GAUGAACGCUGGCGGCGUGCUUAACACAUGCAAGUCGAACGGAAAGGCCCAAGCUUGCUUGGGUACUCGAGUGGCGAACGGGUGAGUAACACGUGGGUGAUCUGCCCUGCACUUCGGGAUAAGACUGGGAAACUGGGUCUAAUACCGGAUAGGACCACAUUUUGGAUGGUGUGGUGGAAAGUUUUUCGGUGUGGGAUGAGCUCGCGGCCUAUCAGCUUGUUGGUGGGGUAAUGGCCUACCAAGGCGUCGACGGGUAGCCGGCCUGAGAGGGUGUACGGCCACAUUGGGACUGAGAUACGGCCCAGACUCCUACGGGAGGCAGCAGUGGGGAAUAUUGCACAAUGGGAGCAAGCCUGAUGCAGCGACGCCGCGUGGGGGAUGACGGCCUUCGGGUUGUAAACUCCUUUCGCUAGGGACGAAGCGCAAGUGACGGUACCUGGAGAAGAAGCACCGGCUAACUACGUG